AUUGAACGCUGGCGGCAUGCCUUACACAUGCAAGUCGAACGGUAACAGGUCUUCGGAUGCUGACGAGUGGCGAACGGGUAAGUAAUACAUCGGAACGUGCCUAGUAGUGGGGGAUAACUACUCGAAAGAGUGGCUAAUACCGCAUGAGAUCUACGGAUGAAAGCAGGGGAUCGCAAGACCUUGUGCUACUAGAGCGGCCGAUGGCAGAUUAGGUAGUUGGUGGGAUAAAAGCUUACCAAGCCGACGAUCUGUAGCUGGUCUGAGAGGACGAUCAGCCACACUGGGACUGAGCCACGGCCCAGACUCCUACGGGAGGCAGCAGUGGGGAAUUUUGGACAAUGGGCGCAAGCCUGAUCCAGCAAUGCCGCGUGCAGGAUGAAGGCCUUCGGGUUGUAAACUGCUUUUGUACGGAACGAAAAGCCCUGGGUUAAUACCCUGGGGUCAUGACGGUACCGUAAGAAUAAGCACCGGCUAACUACGUGCCAGCAGCCGCCGUAAGAC
rnacentral:rRNA from 1 species